GAAGACGGCCAUAGUAAUGAGGCAAUACCUGUUCCCAUUUCGAACACAGAAGUCAAGCUCACUACGUCUGCUGCGUUAGUCUCCGACAAGAGGCGAAGCACAGAUGCUGUCUUCA
rnacentral:rRNA from 1 species